UUUCCCAAUUUAGAGAUGAGAAAUUCUAAUAUGGUCACCUGACUAAAGAAAUAGUGUUUGAUCACACACAUAUAAAGAAGUAUUUUUUUAAUAAUAAGGAGGAAAAUGAUAAAAAAGACUACAAGAAUGAUGGAUAAAUCUCUCUUACAUCACUGACGGAUCAUUUCCGUCAAUAAUGAUGGUGCAUGACAGCUGCACAUGGCAUCGUAUUACUGGCGGAUGAAAUCUGUCAGUAAUAAUAAACAAUUCGCCAGUACCCAUUAAAGUCGGCCAGUAAUCUGUGAAUUAAGAAUCCGCUAGUAAUUCACUAAUUCCGACGGUAUUUCAAAAAACACAUCCGCCGGUGAUUCUUUAAUUCCGCCAGUACCCAAUUAUUAGUUCAAGUUAUAAUAUGCUUGGUGAGUAUCAGGAUGAUUUAGAUGACACCCAAAGCUUCAAACACGUUGAUUCCUCUAAAACCCAUCUUCAAUAGAAAUUCUGAAACCCUCAAUUUUGCCAAUCGAUUCCUCUAUCCUCAUCUUCAAUCGAAAUUCCAAAACCCUCAAUUCUUCCAAUCGAUCCAUAACCUUCAUCUUUGAUCUGGAACCCAGUUUGUUCGGAUCUCACAUUCUCUACACUUUCUUCCUUCACAAAUAUCUCUGUUGUUUCUGAUGGCUUCAUCGAUUUGUCCGUGGCCGGUUCUUGCAUCACCGGCGACGGUGGCGCCGGAAGUUUCAAGGAAAUCGUUCGCGCAAGCAGUGGCAGUGGAUUGUGAUUCUCAAGUGACUCCGCUCCCUCCUCGUGUUGAAGAAGGAGUAAAUGGCAAAAGAAUGAAGGUUUGGAGCUUGGUGAAGGAGUAAAGGGCUCGUGUUCAUUCUUGAGGGAUCUGUUGAGGCCAAUCCAAAGAGACAAAGUACAAGAAGAUUGCAAGCAUAGGUGAUACUGAUGUGUGUAUUGCUUAAGUGGAUGCUGGAUGUUUUUCGGAUGGCUACACUACUUGGGGGUUGUGUGUUUAAAAACAAUUCUGGUGACAUUUCGAUGAUUGUGUGCAAGAAAGAAAGUAUUGCGACUGAUCCUUGUAUGGUAGAAGCGCUUGGUGUUAGAUAGUGUCUUCAAUUGGCGCGUGAUCAAGGUCUUCAAAAAUUGGAAAUCCAAACUGAUGCUCUGGUGAUAGCAGAUUGUAUCUCAGGCAAGAGUUCAAAUGCUAAUUUAGAUCCUAUUAUUGUUGACUGUGUUGAGUAUUUAAACACUUUUGUUUCAGCUUCUGUUUGUUAUAUUAGUAGAGAAAACAAUGGUGAAGCCCAUAAGCUAGUGGGUAUAGCAAAAUUAGUAGGAUUAAGAAAUGGAUGGGGCUUGUCCUAGACUAUUCUGAUGCCUUACUGUCAAGUAUUCAUCUUUCUUUAUCUUAAUGCAAUUGGCUUACCUUUAAAAAAAACAAAGAGAUUUCAAUUAUACUAUCUCAAUUAUAGUUUGGAUAAACAUGAUAAAUGCUUGUGAAUAAAUAUGGUUUGGCUCUGUUUUGAUGCUAAUGGUUUUGAUAUUUCCCUUUAACAACUAGAUUUCAAUUACACUAUCUCAAUUACAGUUUGACUUGGAUAUACAUGAUAAAUGCUUAUGUAUAAAUUGUAUUUUUCUUGGAGUGUGUUUGUGUACAAUUGUUUAUGUCUGCAAAAUUGUCUUCGGGUUGAUUUUGCCUUUGCUAUCUAUAGAUGGACAAAGAAGAGCCGCCACCACCACCCCGCCACCAAAGCCAUAUAGAAGAGGACCUAAACUCACAAUCCAUCAUUCAUCCUUUGUUCUGAUGCCACCAAGAGGAAAUACGAGCUGCAAAUUACCAGGAGGGAGACCACGAUCAAAUUUGUUUGAAUAUUAUUAUCAUUAGCUUAUUAUGUUAGUUCUCUAGAUUGUAUGAGUAUUAUUUAAAUAUUUAUGAUUUUUUACGAAAACUAUUUAUGGAUUGUACAAAUAUUAUGAUAUAUCGAUUAAUUAA